rnacentral:rRNA from 1 species
AUUGAACGCUGGCGGCAUGCUUUACACAUGCAAGUCGAACGGUAACAGGGUGCUUGCACCGCUGACGAGUGGCGAACGGGUGAGUAAUGCGUCGGAACGUGCCGAGUAGUGGGGGAUAACGCAGCGAAAGUUGUGCUAAUACCGCAUACGUACUGAGGUAGAAAGUGGGGGACCUUCGGGCCUCACGCUAUUCGAGCGGCCGACGUCUGAUUAGCUAGUAGGUGAGGUAAAGGCUCACCUAGGCGACGAUCAGUAGCGGGUCUGAGAGGAUGAUCCGCCACACUGGGACUGAGACACGGCCCAGACUCCUACGGGAGGCAGCAGUGGGGAAUUUUGGACAAUGGGCGAAAGCCUGAUCCAGCCAUGCCGCGUGUCUGAAGAAGGCCUUCGGGUUGUAAAGGACUUUUGUCGGGGAGGAAAUCCCCAGCGCUAAUACCGCUGGGGGAUGACAGUACCUGAAGAAUAAGCACCGGCUAACUACGUGCCAGCAGCCGCCGCUGUAA